GAAGAACAGAAGAUACGCAUUUUAAGUUCUUGAUUUCGAUUUUACUUCAAAUUUGAGAGCUCUUCUUAAAAUUAAGAUCUAAAUUUUUAGUAUGUUGUACAGGAGAUUUUGUGAUGGAUAUUGAAGUUGAUUUGAAUCCAUAGGCAGAGUUUUAGUGAAUUCCAAGAAACGGGAAUGAAACAAAAUUUAAAAUAUAAUGGAAGGAAAUCGGAUGGAAACGUUUGAACGCAAGUGAAGGAGAUGAACCAGACGACGACACAUGUCACGAAGAGAGGAGUAGAGCCCCUCGGCCUCCACCAAAGACACGCGUUAAAUUGUGAGAUGCACAAUGAGUCACAAUGUUAGCGGCAAACCCAAAUGAACCGAUCUGACUCGCUCACUCGACUUGAGAGCUAAGGGGCGACUUGGUUUAGCGCUUGCAUGCCAAACCACUUGUCUGACCUAACCCGCUCGAGAAUUGCAUGUCCAUAUGUCACUACCUCGAGAAUUGCAUGAAAUCCUAUGUAUUUCGAAAGCGGUUGACAGUUUGCAUAAAUUUUAUUUAAAUAGUUUAAACUCA